UCAUUUUGGGGGUUGACUCCGUUUCAUCGCUGUGGCUGUGACACUUUGGUCGGCUAAUAAUGUCUUGUUUAGCGGUCGGUUGCACGGCAAGACACUCAAAGGAAUCGGCAGUUCAGUUUUUCCGACUUCCUUUUGAUGAGGCCAGGCUGAAGCAAUGGUUGGUGAACAUGAGGAGAGAGAGAGACCAGCAAAUGGAACCACGAAAAGUCACGUCUGCAGUUCACACUUUGAGGAAGAUCAGUUUUUUAGAGACAAUCAGGUAUCCGCACUGAAAACUGAAAGAGCAGAGCCUCCAGAAGGAAGACCUGGUGUAUAGAGCGGCGUAUUUGGUGCCAUUUCAUCUGGAUGUGGAAACCAGACAGCGUUGACCACGUCCAAAGUUCUCAAAUGUGUUCUGAUUGUAAAAAUGCCAGAAAAUCAUUUUUGGUUCAGCUUCUUCUG